UGAAAUGUUUAGUGUGUCUUUU
rnacentral:piRNA from 1 species